rnacentral:lncRNA from 1 species
CGUUUUGUACCCAAAUUUGGAGACGACCGUUUCAUUCCAAUUCCUCAAAGAUCCGCUCCGCUCUAACAAAAAGGUACACCACACCUCCUUUAUUUUUCAUUUGUUAUUUUUCUGAAUUUUCCUUUCAAUCGGAAUAUUUUCUUUUGCAGAUCUAUCAAAAAAUUCUUACUGUGGAGCAUCUUAUGUCUUCAUUUGCUUGGUUUAUGUGUUGUUCAAUGUUCUAUUUGUUAAUUUGAUUUGUUACCUUUCGUUUAAACUUAAUGUCAAUUUGGUUGGUUUGUUGAAUCCAGAAAGAUCCUUUGAACUUUUAUUUUCCUUUGUUUACUCGGUUUGCUAGCUUCUUCAUUUUAAUAUUUCUCAAUCUUUUAUUUCUUAUAGCAUGAUAGAAUUAGUUGUUUUGCUAUGUGCUUUGAUACACAAUUUAAUAUGUCAAGAGCUUGUUCUCUAGCUCUUGGUACUGUUCAUUAAAUUUCUUCAAUAAAAUAGACUGUGCUAGACUUCAUGUACAAUGGAGAACUUAGCAAAUGACUUCUUCAUUGUGAGUGAUGCAAAUUACUUUUGUCAGGUGAUCUUCUCAUUCUUCUUCUUUACAUCUAUAGUUCCUCAAAAUAUAAUUAAAAAACAAGUUAUGUAGUUCCGACUUGUGAGAAUCUACAAAGCCGUUUUGUGACAACGAGAUAGGCUUCAAUCUAAAAAAAUACUUUGAACCUGGGUAUAUUUAAUUGAUUUUGUUUAUUACAUUGUGGUGGUUUUUUCCCACCAUAAUAUUGCUUCAAAUUUAAAAGUGGUUCCUCUUGAACCAACUCAAGUUGAACGGUUGGAAAGUUACAUGGACUCUACCUUUGAAUAAUACUACAAGCAACAUCAUAUUCUUAAAGUAAUUGUUGGUUGAAUAAGAUGUGGAUCCUAAGUGCAACACCUCGAAAGUAGAAAAGUUGAAUUGGAAAUUUUUUUUGCAGAAAAGUUGCUAGUGCAACUAGUGUACGAGGGCAAGUACUGUACUUCGUUCCACGGUCUGUAGGUGCCAAUCGUAAAUGACAUCAUGAGUUGAUGAAAUUGUCAAGUCUCUGACCUUAACACAUGAUCCGAUAGGAUAACUCGUUGUUAGGUAGAUGGGUGGUGAUUGAGUCUCGUGGUUGUAGCCUUUAGAAAGUUGAGUUUUCCACACUUGAGUUCAACAAAGGGUCAAUACGGACUGUAGAAGGAAAUACAUUCCGAACAGGGGUGUCUGGACUUAGGAUAAUUUUCCAAGCUCUUGUUCUACAAGUCGGAUGUGCAGGCCGUAAAAGAGAUAACGAACCAUAGACCUUGGCCUGUGGUUUUUAUUCAAAAAGUUAGAUUUUCAGCACUUGUUUUAUGGAUGACUAUUACAGUCCGUAGAAGGGAGUACGGACCGUACAUGGAGUUGUAGAAAUGUUGCGACAAAAUUUUCUUAGGGUUAUUUAGGUCUUUUCCUACAUUUUUAAUCUUUACAGUACGUCGUUUCUAGACUAUUCCUAAGACCUAUAACUGUUUCUAAGGUCAAAACCCUCCCCAUUGACUCUCAAACCCCAAAAGCUCUCAAGUCUUCUUCUCAAGGAUUCUUUAAAGGUGAUUUAGGAUUUCUUCAAGCUUUACGUCUCCUCUUCCAAGUUCAAAACUAGGGUUCAUCAAGGCAUGAGGAAAAUUCAGCAAUGGGUCCUCUCCACCCAGUGAGUCCCAAAAGAAACCUAAAAUCUCUCUUAUGAUUUCUAUAUCCAAAUUUCUAGGGUUUUCAUGAUUCUUCCAUGGGUUUAAUUGAAGUAAGGUUUUCUCUCCAUGAAUGAUUUUACUGUCAAGACCCAAGGUGCUAUUGGGUUAUGAAGGGUGAUUAGGGCGUCAUGCGGAAACUUACAAUUUGCAAAUCAUAUAGUUGAUAAAUCAGAUAACAAAAAAAGUUAUACUAAAAAAAUCAAAAUAUUAUUAUAUCAAAACUAAUAUAAAGAAAAACAUUGAAACUUUAGAGAGAAUAAAUCUCCCCCAUAAACUAGACUCUUAAACGACUAUAUUGUGGAUGUUAUUGUUAUUGUGUUAGAAGAAUCAAAUAUAUAUUAUUUAUAGAGUCCUAAAACCUUUUCUUUUUAGAAAAGGACUAGCUACUCCAAAACUUUUUUCCUAAAAGGAAAGAAUAAACCAAAUAUGAAAGAAUAUUAUAUUUUCCUUUCAGGAAAAGUAAAAACAUUUAUGUUAAUGUUUUGUCUUUUCUUUAAGGAAAAAAAAAUCUUAAAUUAUGGUAAGAAAAUCAGGGCAAAAUCCUAACAAAUCUCCCCUUUUUGGCUGAAUUUUCUUGACAAAGUUUGAUCUGUCUUCUUCAUUGCAUGAUAAUCUUGUUCUUCACAAAAUCUUCAUCAUUGUUGCUUGCCAUGGUUAAAAAUAAAGUUUAAAAUAUAUGGGUUAAAAAUAUAUAUUUUUUAUUCUUAAAAAUUGCAGCAACAGGAAUGUUGAAAAUAUGAUUGAAACUUCUUCUCCACAUGUAGCUUGACAAAAAUCUUCAUUAUCAUCAAAUUGAUUACAAAUUGAUUUGAAACCAUUUUUAAGCUUGUCUUCAACCUCGUUGAACCAUAGCACCACCGGAUCUUUGAACCAUGUGCUAUGAUACCACUUGUUGGGUUAUGAAGGGUGAUAAGGGCGUCAUGCGGAAGCUUACAAUUUGCAAAUCAUAUGUUGAUAAAUCAGAUAACAAAAAACUUAUACUAAAAAUCAAAAUAUUAUUAUAUCAAAACUAAUAUAAAGAAAAACAUUGAAUCUUUAGAGAGAAUAAAUCUCCCCAUAAACUAGACUCUUAAACGACUACAUUGUGGAUGUUAUUGUUAUUGUGUUAGAAGAAACAAACCUAUAUUUAUAGAGUCCUAAAACCUUUUUCUUAUUAGAAAAUGACUAGUUACUCCAAAACCUUUUUCCUAAAAGGAAAGAAUAAACCAAAUAUGAAAGAAUAUUAUGAAAGGAAAAGUAAAAACAUUUAUGUUAAUGUUUUGUCUUUUCUUUAAGGAAAAAUAAAUCUUAAAUUAUGGUAAGAAAAUCAGGGUAAAACCCUAACAGGUACACCCUAGAAGUGACAUGGUGUAUAGGAUCCUGAGAGGCCCUACACAAGUUACUUGACACAUAUAUACACAGUACAAUAGACAAAAAUAGGAAAUCUCAUACGAAUAAAAGAGUUUGACAUUAAAGCGGAAGUCUAUCAUAGUCUUGAUAAGUCAUCUAGUACAUCAAAAGAAGUGGUGGGGAUGUAACCCGUAUAGCACGUACAACAUCCGAAAUGUAAAGAAAUAUGAAAGCAAUAAAGGUGACAUGAUCCUCGAAAUAUGAGGACUCACCAAGUCUUCAAAUCUUUAAAGUGAUCAACUAGCCAUGAGGGAGAGGAGAGGAAGUGUCACACCCUACAUUAGUGAAACAAUGUAGGCACAAGUAUGCAUUAGUACAUGGAAUGUACUAAGUACGAAGGAUAUGCAUGGAAACAUAAAACAUGAUAAUAAGUAAACAUAACCGAAAACAUGACCAAGCUAAACAUAGUAAAAUAUUUUUAAGAGACAUAAUAAAUCACGAACAUGGUCAAUGCAUCUCAAAUUCAUAAGAAAAGCUCCAUUAAAUCUUUAAGGACAACUUAGUUCAUUUUGUGGGAUAUUUACUAAUAAUCGACAUAGACCACGUGAGCUAUAAUGUGGAAUCUAGUGUCUUUCUCAUAUACCGAAAAGAAAUGUCCUUAAUUUCUAAGGUAAGGACCUUAACUUCUAGCUUACGUGGAUCCACUAUCUAUGUUACUUAAGACAAUCCUACAGGGGCACGUAGUUAGGGACAAUGAGAUUUCUAUUAGAGACUCGGACUCCUAAUGGGAGAGCUUCCAUAUCAAUAUCCUCUCGGUGCUAAGUAAAAUCUCAAAGGAAUAUUCAUAAACAUAUUAUUAUCAUACAUGGAAAAGCACAAUUAAGUUACAAAUACAAGCUUAAAACAUCAUAUAGUAGCUCCUUAAACCAUGUGUGAGAAAAUAUUUCACCAAUCAUGAUUCCUUAAUUGUGAGAAACCUUUUAAAAUUAAAAACCCCGGGUCCUGAUGGAUGCUAAUUUUAAAUGGGAGCUUGCUUCCUUCCUUUUGAUCUGCCUUUCCAAUUAAAGGAAAAAAUUAUUUCCCACCAUAUUCCUAGAUAACCACAUUGUAAGGACUAGGGGUGUUCACGGGUUGGUUUGGAUCGGUUAUUGGUCAAAACCAAAACCAAAUCAACUUAAUCGGUUUUAAAAUUAUCAAAACCAAACCAAACCAAAUAUAAUAUACAUUUAUCGGUUUGGUGAUUAUCGGUUUCGGUUUGGUUUGGUUCGGUUAUUCGGUUAUUAACCAUACACAAAAAUAAAAGAAACAAUUCAUUUAAAAUAUGAAAAAAGUGACAACAAUCCAUUCUAAACGAAAAAUAGUUAGAAUGACUUAAAUUACUGAACUUUCGAUCACUAAAUUUACUAUCAAUAAAGCUUUAAAAUUCACUAUAUUGGCCUAGAAGGAAGAGACAAUAACAUUUUCAGUUCCACAAGAAUUGUCAUAGACACUCAUAUACAUGAAAUCAAUAAGAUAAAUGUUUCAUCUUGGGCAUUUUUGCUUUCAAUAAGUAAAUUAUAAAGAAAUUUUAAUGAAAAUAUGUAUAAGAUCUUUAAAAUUGUUUAUAAAAACAAUAUAUUAAGUAUGUAUAUUAAUAAAAUAUAUGUAUAUAAUUCAUCGGUUCGGUUCGGUUAUUUCUUAAAAACAAUAUAUUAAGUAUGUAUAUUAAUAAAAUAUAUGUAUAUAAUUCAUCGGUUAGGUUCGGUUCGGUUAUUUCUUUGGGUUUUUUUGAAUAAAACCAUAACCAAAUCAAAUACUAUCGGUUUUCAAAAAUCUAAAACCAAACCAAACCAAACCCAAAUAAAAUCAGUUUUAUUUUAUCGAUUUGGUUUGAUUUUUCUGUUUGAAUCGGUUUUUAUCCAAACCGUGAACACCCCUAGUAAGGACUCUUAUAUUUGGGGUCUGACUUCCACUGGCUCAUUCACAACCAAGUCCUUAUAUAAUGCCUUGUUGACUCAGUCUGAUAAUCAUCAUUCAUCUCAUCCUUCCCAAUUCUCCUUCGAGUGGAUCUGGAAGGUGCCGCUUCCGUAAAAAAAUAUCGACUUUAAAUGGCUCACUUGUCACCAACAUCUCCCAACUGCAUCAUACCUCCAUCGAAUUGGCAUAGCCACAUCUUCUCUUUACUUGCAGUGAAAAAUUCAACUGAAACUAUAUCCCAUCUCUUGCUUUUCUGACCUACCUCUAUUGCAUUAUGAACAAAUUUUGGGCUUCACUCAAUCAUCUUGUCCAUUAAUACCCAUAACACAUCGCGUCUCACUUAAUUAUCUUUUUUGAUUCGUGUGAUUCCAUUCAAUAUAUUCCCUAAUGUUCCUUCUGAGAUGCUUCUUGGUUUUGGAAAAAUUGUAAUAACAAUUUCUUUAACAAUACUUUCAAUAUUCCUGAUCACAAAGCAGACAUCGUUCGUAUAAUGGAAUUUUUCAGUUUAGGUCAUAAGCCAAAAACUAAACAUUUUUCGUACGCCUAUCUGGAUUACUUGGCUGCCCCUGGAACAAAAAUCCUUUAAGUUAAGCAUUGAUGGCGCGUUUGAUAUCAUCUUUGGUAAAGAAGGCCUAGGUAGGUUUAUUCGUGAUCAUGUGGGAAACUGGGUUCUGGGUUUCACACACUCCAUUUGUGAUACUGACAGUUUAUAGGCUGAAUUAUUGGCCCUCUACAAUGGCCUUAAACUUGCCUUACUGCACAAUUUACAACCUUUAAUCAUUGAGCUCGAUGCUACUCAAGUGAUUAUCCUUUUACACUCUCUCAUUUUAUCAUAUGCUCACAUUAUACAUGAUUGCAGGUAGAUGCUCCAUCAACUCACUAAUUCAAGCAUAGUGCACUCAUACAUGAAAGUAAAUAACAUCGCGGAUAGGCUUGCUAAACCAGCUUUAACUGGCAACUUCUUGUAGGACAUCUCCAUUUUGGAUGAACCACCUCCUCUUGUUCAAACUUCACUUGCAGGUAACCAAUGGGCUCAAGCUACUAAAACACUCGUACUAGCUGCAACUUUUCCUUCAAGCCGUCGAAAUAGUUCUAAUGUCCUUCUAACUAGCGUAGAUUUACCAAUAUAGUAACUACUUUUUUCUGUAACUUAGACCAUGUGGGUCUGUGAUGGCCACCGGCCAUUACUCCAUGUACUCCUUUAAGUUUUUAAUAAAAUGUUUUAUCUUUCCUUAC